UUUGGGUUUGAGGGAAGCAGACAUUUCUACAUCAAUAUCUGGCUUUUCCAAAGCCCGAAAAAGCAGGACAAUCGGCAUCUUGGAUUUGCGUCUGCCAGAAGCACAAAAAAGAUGAAGAAAACAGCGAAGGAGGCGCCCACCACCCUG